UACGGGGGGGGCAAGCGUUGUUCGGAAUUACUGGGCGUAAAGGGCUCGUAGGCGGCCAACUAAGUCAGACGUGAAAUCCCUCGGCUUAACCGGGGAACUGCGUCUGAUACUGGAUGGCUAGAGGUUGGGAGAGGGAUGCGGAAUUCCAGGUGUAGCGGUGAAAUGCGUAGAUAUCUGGAGGAACACCGGUGGCGAAGGCGGCAUCCUGGACCAAUUCUGACGCUGAGGAGCGAAAGCCAGGGGAGCAAAUGGG
rnacentral:rRNA from 1 species